CAAAACGUAGCUUAACUAAAGCAUCUUGCUUACACCAAGAAAAUAUUUGUUUAACUCAAAUCGCUUUGA
rnacentral:tRNA from 1 species